rnacentral:misc_RNA from 1 species
GUGACGAAGGCCAGUGCUAUAGACGUUUCAUACCUGCUGCAAGGGAGAAAGGGAACUGUUCUGCAGAAAUGUACAUCCCUGGCAAACAAGAUGGUGACUCCUGCUGAAGAGCAUGCUGCUGCGAGUGAUAAAGUUGCCGUUACCCAGUCACCAACCACGAACAAGCUGACUAAUACAGGACUAUGGAGAUCUCUCUUUAUCCUCAGAGCAUACAGAUCAAGACAUGCAAGUCCCAGGCUCCACAUCACUUGCAAUCCCAUUGAUGCAAUCAAGUAGCAGAAGGCAGUGUAAUUUGAAAACCCUAGCGCCGACACCAUGACCCCGAUCGAAGCCCCCGCGAAGACACACUGCCCCGUCCUCAGCAGCAACCCGCCGAGCGUGCCGGGGCUCCCCGCCACCACCUUCA